ACACAUUGCAGUUCGGGCGGUAACAGGGAGAAGCUUGCUUUCUCUGCUGACGAGCGGCGGACGGGUGAGUAAUGUAUGGGGAUCUGCCUGAUGGCGGGGGAUAACUACUGGAAACGGUAGCUAAUACCGCAUAAUGUCUACGGACCAAAGCGGGGGACCUUCGGGCCUCGCGCCAUCAGAUGAACCCAUAUGGGAUUAGCUUGUAGGUGAGGUAACGGCUCACCUAGGCGACGAUCCCUAGCUGGUCUGAGAGGAUGAUCAGCCACACUGGGACUGAGACACGGCCCAGACUCCUACGGGAGGCAGCAGUGGGGAAUAUUGCACAAUGGGCGCAAGCCUGAUGCAGCCAUGCCGCGUGUAUGAAGAAGGCCUUCGGGUUGUAAAGUACUUUCAGUCGGGAGGAAGGUGGUAAGGUUAAUAACCUUAUCAAUUGACGUUACCGACAGAAGAAGCACCGGCUAACUCCGUGCCAGCAGCCGCGGUAAUACGGAGGGUGCAAGCGUUAAUCGGAAUUACUGGGCGUAAAGCGCACGCAGGCGGUUGAUUGAGUCAGAUGUGAAAUCCCCGGGCUUAACCCGGGAAUUGCAUCUGAUACUGGUCAGCUAGAGUCUUGUAGAGGGGGGUAGAAUUCCAUGUGUAGCGGUGAAAUGCGUAGAGAUGUGGAGGAAUACCGGUGGCGAAGGCGGCCCCCUGGACACAGACUGACGCUCAGGUGCGACAGCCUGUGGAGCAGACAGGAUUAUAUACCCUGGUAGUCCACGCUGUAAACGAUGUCUACUUGGAGGUUGUGCCCUUGAUGCGUGGCUUCCGGAGCUAACGCGUUAAGUCUACCGCCUGGGGAGUACGGCCGCAAGGUUAAGACUCAAAUGAAUUGACGGUGGCCCGCACGAGCGCUGUAACAUGUGGUUUAAUUCGAUGCAACGCGAAGAACCUUACCUACUCUUGACAUCCGGAGAACUUAUCACAGAUGCUUUGUUGCCUUCGGAAACUCUGAGACAAGGUCUGCAUGCCUGUCAUCAGCUCGCGAGGAAAUAUUGUGUUAACUCCCGGACUAUUGCAACCCUUAUCCUU
rnacentral:rRNA from 1 species